UCCAUUGUCGAGUUGUCAGGCCGUAAAACCUUUGGAUUGGAACCGCAGGAACAGGUGAAGAUGAUGCAUUCCUACGAUGCCGUUUUCCCACAAAUGAAAAACACAAACAUCGAAUGGUGGUUGCUUGUUUCUCCAUAAAGGAGGUCAGUUUGUUUCAUAGUUCUGUCUGCAGUUGUGUAUUGAUUGGGCAGUGAUGUGCACUUGCCCUGGCCCCGCCCACAAUCUAUUCAUAUGAAAUUGCCAACAUGCAAAUGAACUAUUGAUCACUGUUAUCUUUUUAGAUCCGAGAUAAGCAAUCAUUUUCCUCCGGUCAUGGGAAGUGAUAGAGUACAAAUAAUUGCAGUACUGAAGUAGGUUUUUCAAUUAUCUUUAUAUGGGUAUUUAAUUUUCUUUUAUUUUGACUUUGAACCCCUUACAUAUGAACUUAGGUGUCUGUAUUCAUUGUCCUUUCAAAAUAGGUUUGUUGCUUUUUUCAAACUUAAACACAGGGUAGGAAUACUUUUUAAAUACUGUAGUAUCCGAGGUAAUAUUCAAGUAAAUCCAGCGAUACACCUGAUCCCCGAAACAGGACAGCGAACGCAAGUCGACGUGUAUCUGAAGCAACAAGGAGUGAAAACACGUCUGUCAAUCUCCGCUUCCUCCACACGUGCCGACUGCGACGCGAGCCGCCGCCGUCAACUGGACCCGCCGUUUCUGUGACUAAGGUCGGGGCGAAUCAGGUCGUCUAAGCUGAGUUAAACUAAGGUCAUACCAUCAUCAAACUUUAUUACAAAGAGGCAGGAUUUGAUGUCCCGGAUUUGAGGAUCAGUGACGUUGGUUUGAAUUUUGGAUGCGUUUUGUCCCCAAAGUAAAUAAUGGAAACUGUCAAAGCAAAUUUUGCCAUUAAUGGCUAGAAGUUAUUUUGAGGGAAUGGUAAGUGGACCCUUUUUUUUUUUUUUUAUUUCCAUCAGGCGACUGAUAUAAACUGUAUCAAAGGCACACGUGUU